rnacentral:rRNA from 1 species
GACCGUCGCAUGGUCGAAGUCUGACGGAGCACGCCGCGUGAGUGAUGAAGGUUUUCGGAUCGUAAAACUCUGUUGUUAGGGAAGAACAAGUACCGUUCGAAUAGGGCGGUACCUUGACGGUACCUAACCAGAAAGCCACGGCUAACUACGUGCCAGCAGCCGCGGUAAUACGUAGGUGGCAAGCGUUGUCCGGAAUUAUUGGGCGUAAAGCGCGCGCAGGCGGUUUCUUAAGUCUGAUGUGAAAGCCCCCGGCUCAACCGGGGAGGGUCAUUGGAAACUGGGGAACUUGAGUGCAGAAGAGGAGAGUGGAAUUCCACGUGUAGCGGUGAAAUGCGUAGAGAUGUGGAGGAACACCAGUGGCGAAGGCGACUCUCUGGUCUGUAACUGACGCUGAGGCGCGAAAGCGUGGGGAGCGAACAGGAUUAGAUACCCUGAUUAGUCAACUGCUGCUCCCCGUAAGAAAGCAUGGAGUAGA